GACGAACGCUGGCGGCGUGCUUAACACAUGCAAGUCGAACGGAAAGGCCCUGCUUUUGUGGGGUGCUCGAGUGGCGAACGGGUGAGUAACACGUGAGUAACCUGCCCUUGACUUUGGGAUAACUUCAGGAAACUGGGGCUAAUACCGGAUAGGAGCUCCUGCUGCAUGGUGGGGGUUGGAAAGUUUCGGCGGUUGGGGAUGGACUCGCGGCUUAUCAGCUUGUUGGUGGGGUAGUGGCUUACCAAGGCUUUGACGGGUAGCCGGCCUGAGAGGGUGACCGGCCACAUUGGGACUGAGAUACGGCCCAGACUCCUACGGGAGGCAGCAGUGGGGAAUAUUGCACAAUGGGUGGAAGCCUGAUGCAGCAACGCCGGGUGCGGGAUGACGGCCUUCGGGUUGUAAACCGCUUUCGCUCAUGACGAAGCUUUGUGUGACGGUAGUGGGUAAAGAAGCACCGGCUAACUACGUG
rnacentral:rRNA from 1 species